AUCCAUCUGACGAGUCCUAAAUAGGACGAAAUGCACAUCCUACAU
rnacentral:hammerhead_ribozyme from 1 species